ACGAAAAGAAAACUACCUAGCCGUCCAUCUCUCUCUCCCUUUCCCAUUUUCUCUCCCUGCCCCACGAUGCACGCAGCAGCCAGCAGCGCCCAGCGCUAGCGCUCCGCGCGGCCUGCGCUCCCCACGCCGCAGCUAGGUGCCCCGGCCAACGCCCCCUCCCAACGGCAAGCCGGUGCCCCUCCGCGGCGUGCAGCCAUGGCUGCCAGCCCGCAGCCGCCGCGGUUCGUUACCCUGCUCGACCGGCCCUAGCCCUUGCGCGCGGUCGGCCUGCCAGCGCGGCGGCGCGACCAGCUAGCACUAUCGUCGUCAUGCUCGUGUCCUCGUCGCUCGUUCGGUGCGUCGUGCACGCAACAUGUCGUCGUACCUCGCCUCGUCUCGCCGUCGUCGCGAGGUAAGCCUCGCCUACCCCUUGCGCGUAAUUCAGAUGAGGUUCGCCCGACGACACGCAAAAUGCUAAUUACACGUUUUAAACAAAGUCAUUUCGUCAUGUCGUUUAGGCUAAAUAAUUAGUUAAUGGUGUGGUUAUCGGUUGUUAAAAAACAUGAGGUUCAAUCGAAUCUAGUUUAUAAUUUUAAUUAUGCGAUUAUAAAUACUUGGCAAUGUGAUUUUAACCACUUAGAUGUUGUAUUUAAUAUCUAUUUAGUGUUUGGUAUAAAAACAACAUUUAGUUAGUGAGUCUUGCAUGUGGUGGUGCGCGUCGCUCGUGCUGUUUGGCUCGUGCUAAUUCACAUGCUGUCCAUGUGUGUCGUCAUUCACACGAGUCGUUAUUCACGCACUUUAAUAAAAUUAUUUCGUCACAUCGUUCAUGUUAAAUAAUUAAUUACUUAUUUAGUGUCGGUUAUUUAAAAUAAUAGUUCAAUCAAACCAAAUUUAUAAUUUUAAUUACACGCUCGCAAAUACCUGUUAUUGCGAUUAUGCCAACUUAAAUGUAUAUCUAAUAUUGGUUUAAUAAAAAAACGAUACAAUUUAGUAGUAUUCGUAGACCAUGUCAUUUAUUAGCCGUGAUGUGCUAAUUAUUCAAUACGUUAUGUGUCGCAAUCCUGUUUUGACUCGUUUCGGACGUGUCAACUCCAUACCAGUGUUAAUUUCAUUUUACUAAUAUUAUUUUGUCACGACGUAAGUUUUAAUCAAAUAGUUAAUUAUUUGUUGUACAAUAUUUAUUAGAAUAACAAUUUGAAUAAAACUAAUUUCUAGUUUUUAUUCGCGCUUUUAUAGAUACAUAUUAAUAUGAUUACGUCUGCUCGAAUAUUUUUGAAUUAAUACUUGUUAGUAUAGACGUAUUGCAGCGUGUGUCGUCUCUUGUCGAUCAUGUGUGUCUCACGCGCUGUCCGCACGUUAUUUAAUUAUUUCUGUUAUUGUCGUUUGCGCUAAUUAGUCAAUUAUUGUUUAGUCGUUGGUUAUUUAAAAUAACAAUUCAAUUAGAACGAGUCUGUUUUAACACACGAUUUUAUAAAUAUAAAUGAUAAUUAACUUGAGUGAUACCAGUAUAAAUACUCUUACUUAAUUAUUUGUUUACUGUUGUUAGCACGUGGCAUCGUUCGCGCGUCAUCGUGUUGUUCGCGCGCAUAGUCGCGUUGACUCAGGUGUGACGAGCACUGUCAUGCGCGUUGUUUCGUGUGUCCGUAUGUUGUUCGGCAUGCUGUCGUGCAUCAUCACAUGUCAUCCACGUGUGUUGCGCGCGCCGUUUUCACGUGUCAUGUGCUAUCUGUGCGCUAGGUCGCGUGCGGGCGUGCUGUUUCACGCGUUACGUAUUUCGUCUCGCUCCGCUAAUUCGUCCCGCUUAGAGUUGCUGAUAUUAUUUAAAUUACUUAUUUAACUAAGAAUUACUAGUGUGGUCAGCUAAUUAAAAUUGUGUGAUAGCUAUAGUUUCAUUUUAAAUAAAUAUCGAUUAAUAUAAGCAGAUCAAACUAAAUGUUAUGACUAAUACUCGUUUAUUGUAGACGCGAUAACUUCUCGAUCGUAGCUUCGUCUGUCGCGUUUCUUUUUCCUUGCGUGAUCGUAGUAACACGCUCUAUUUCAUUUUGCAUAUUUUAUUAUGUUUCUAUUUGAAUGGUGUAAUGUUCUUAUGUAUAUAUGUUUGUUUGUUUGUGCCUGUUUGUAUUCGAUGUGCGUCGCGAAUAGAUUGCGAUCCGGUUCCAAGCUUCGAGGGAUCGAGGAUCAAGCGUUGGCGACCAAGUGAUAUAGCUUUACGAGUUCUACGAUACUAAAGACCCUGAGCAUCUGUUUGGUGAAGGCAAGUGUCCUCUGACCCAUUAUGUCCCAUUUACUUUAUAAUACACUGUCCCGCAUACUAUGAACAACCUAAGGAUUUACUAGCUUUCUAUUUACAUUGUCCUUGAUUUACCUUUUGGGUUACUAUGGUUAGCUACCUGCUAGCGCUUUACUUUAAUCAAUGAACAUGAUGAGAUACAAUGAUGAUACUAUGAUUUUAUUCUGGAUAUGAUGAUAUACUGGUGGCAUUUAGGGGACUCGGGCUGUUUCCCGAGUACCUCUCCGUAAGGACCUGUUCGUUGAGAGACCACCCGGGAUAACAGUGCAACCAUGAGGGUGAAAUGGGAUGCCCUUAGCUAACUAAUUAGAGGAACUAGAGGUGUAGUUGCUUCGCCGUCGUGCCGUCAAUGGGGUCCAGGCACAGUGCUUGCUCUGCCGAGGCUGGGUGCCGAGGUCCUUUCGUUUUGCUUUUGUUAGUCACCUUCCUGCGGGGAGGAGUACUGUGUUUAUCAAACUGGAGAAACCUAACGGGCGGCUAUGACCUCUAGGGAAUCUUUGUAAAAGCUACGUAGUGAUACCCUGCCGGACCACCUAGGAAGUGAUCAAUGGGGAGUCAUGAUCCCCGGGCAAAACGGGAAUCACGGCUCAUGGGUAAAGUGUGCGACCUCUGCAGAGGGUAAUGAAACUGAUAUAUCAGCCGUGCUCACGGUUAAGAGCGGCCUUGGGAUCCUCCUUGAUUAGAGAUACAUAUGAUCUAAGAUACAAUGGUUAUAUUUAUGUUUUGGUUCGAUGAUGAUAAUGAUGUUCCUCGAUGAGGAAAUGAUUCACAGGUUGGUUACAUGAUAAAACUUGGCUUCCACUAAUAAUAAAUACCUGACCAACUAAAAGCAACUGCUUGAGCUAAACCCCACAUAAAGCUAGUCCACCUCAGCCAAACGGGACAUUUGCUGAGUACGUUGAUGUGUACUCACCCUUGCUUUCACAAAACACCAGGUUGCCUUUGGUGCAAUCUAUGCUCAGGUAAAGAAGAAGGAGUCGAGGCGGAUCUCUAGGAGUUCCAGGACUUCGACGAGUUCGAGGAUUAGGCUAGCGACCUCCCCCAGUCAGCUGCCUGUGGUGGGUUUGUUUACGUUGGCUACGUUUCUAUUCUGUGUACUUUGAUUUGUGCUAUGUAAAUGACUCUAGUCUUUAAUAUUAUUACUCAUUCUAUAUUGUUAUUCGAAGCAUUGUGCUAUGAUGAGUCAUUUAUGUAAUCGCUGUGUACGUGAAUUUCUGAUCCUGGCACGUACAUGGUUCGCAUUCGGUUUACCUUCUAAAACCGGGUGUGACAUAAGUGGUAUCAAAGCCGUGCUGACUGUAGGACCGCUGACCUAGAGUAGCGUUGGCCGUUUUAAGGACUUAUUGACUAUUACUUCACCCCAUCCUUGGUUCUGCUUCAAAAUAUUAGUCACCUCGACUAAUUCUAUGUUGUGCUCCUAUAUGCCCCCUUGACAAAAGUAUUUUAUUCUAGUAUGGUUUAUACUUCUCUCAAUCUAUUAGAUCCGAUCUCACUCUUGUGCUUGCGAUAUCUUUGUAGAUGCCCCUUACCAUGACCUUCUAGUCUCUUGGGAUUCUUUCCUCUUCCAUCAUUAAGUUGCUGCCAUUUGACAAUCAUUAUUCCCUUGGUAUUGACAUGCUUUUGAUUCUUCCAUACCCUUAUUCCUUAAUUCAAACACUUAACCCUAAAAACUCUAUUGCCUAGUUAAACAUUUCAGUUUAUAUGUCCAUGACCUUCCUGUCUUUUGAGAACCUUUCCUAUUCUAUUGUUAAGUCGCUAUCUUUUGGCAAUUUGUACUCUCUUCGUCUUGGUAUGCUCGUACCAUUGGAAUCUUGCAUACUAAUAUUUUUAUAUAUGCUUACCUUCAUAUCCCAAUGAUUGUUCAAAAAAUUUCGGUUAAUAUGCCCUUGAUCAUCCUUGCUUCUUGAUGGUCCAUGAGCGACCCUUCUAUUUCGCACAUCCUUGACGAUCUCACCGUUUCCUCAUAACUUCCCUCGAUAAUAAUUUUUGUUACUUCAACCAUUCUGUUGGGACCUUACCUAUCUCACCCUUGAUUGUCUUAUCCACUUCGCCACUUCGAGAGUCUUGCCUUAACUCUAUCCUGGGUUAUGAUUUCACGAUCAUCAUCUUUACCCUUGUCGCCUCUAUAUCUUACCUUGAUGCUUAUAUUAUACCCGUCCUUUAAAAACCUUCUCUCUGCCAUCUCAAUUUUAUAGUUGUAGUUUACCUAUUUUCCCUUGGUCGUAUUCUCUUCCUUAUCGCUUGCGAGUUUUUAACUCCAUCCCUUGUCGUGCUCCAGUUGGGUAUUACCUUUACCUUUCUCAUCCCUCGAUCUUACCUUUAACUACACUAUGUCCGUUCUCUAAAAUCUUCAAUCUCAUAUCUCAAUGUGAGAGCGAUGUUUUACUUAUCUUAUCCUUGGCAAUAUCCUCUUCUUUUCCGCGUGUAAGCCUUGACAUACCUCCAUUCUUUAUUGUGCUUAUACCACUCGCUCUUCUAAGUCUUCAUCUUUUCUCCUAUACUCUUGUCUGUUAUCGCCUUUGGCCCUUGCGAUAUUUAUGUCUUCUACCUAAAUGCUUACCUUGAACUUAUCCUUUAAAGCCUCUCCUUUAUUUUGAGAAAGUUUGAGGGUUGUGAUUUACCUAUCUCUCCCUUGAAUUCUUGUCACUUCGUGUCGCCUUACAAGUUUUGUGUUAAUUCCAUCCUUUGUUGUGUUUUAUUUGCUAUCACCAUCACCUUGUCAUCCAUCGAUCUUGCCUUAUACUCAUCUGUAUUCCCACUCUAAAAAAAUCUCCUCUCUUCCACCUCAAUUUGAGAGUGGCAGAUUACCUUUCUGGCCCAAGGACGUACCCUCUCCUUUUCCAUUUGCAGGUCUUGUCUUAACUCCAUCCUUUGUGGUAUUUAUAUUCUUGGUUCUUAUGCACAUUUACCUCCUCUCUUACAUCCUUGUCCGUUAUCACCUUUAAACCCUCAUGAUACCUAUGCCCUUGCCACAUGCCUACUUUUAACCUACCCUUUAAAGCCACCUCUCUUUCAUCGCUGUUUGAGAAUAAUACCUCACCUACUUCACCAUUGAUUGCUUCCCCUUCUUUGAUGCCUCUCAAGUUUUGUCUAAAAUAUAUCCUUGGUUGGAUUCUCUCCCUUGGCGGUUACAAUCAUUACUUUAGCUCCAUCCUUUAUUAUGCUCAUGCCCCUAUCCUCCAUGUCUUAUUAUUUCUCCUUGCCUUUUGUUGGCCUUAGAGUAGUUUCCUUUUUUAAGGAAAGACCACCAUUUAAUUAAAAGGAACAUAUAACAUCGAGAUGUUGGUGGUUGUAUGCUUGUGAUGUUUGUCUUUGUGUGAUGACCGAUUUGCUUCUUUGUGAUGAGUGUUGUUGUGUUGUGGCCUUUGGUCCGCAAUGACAUCAGUUUACUAGUUGGGUGCUCUCCCUUUUCUCUCUUUAAUCCAUUUAUGCUUACCUUUUCUAUCUUACCUUUUCUAUCUAUACUCUUUCCUCUUGCACCUGUCCAGUUUGCAACCUCCAACCUCUCUCAAUCAAUCAAGACCAGAGUCGACAGCAUCUUUAUCAAGUGCGUAUCAACGCUUCUGUUAAGGGGGUUAGUCGCUAACCCCAAUGAAGACAAUGUGAAUAACAUCAGCCAACAAGAUCAGAGUGGUGUAGCGAAAGCGUGUGUGGGUCCUAACCCACAGGUCCAAGGGAUCCUCAAGAAUUGUAUCGAUUGGUCUCAAGCGCCUGAAGGUCAAAGCAUCCAGUCCGCAAGCUAAGCUUGCAAAGUCAAAGUCAACUCAAGAAAGCCGUGAACAACGGAUGAACCAACCUUGUUUCUCUUGCUAGCUUCUUGAAUCUCGAGGGCGAGAUUCUGUUAAGGGGGUUAGAUUUGUAACACCCUGAAUUUGGGGGUAUAAAAUUUCUUUCCUAAUAUCCACCAAAUUCAGGUGUUACCCUCUUCUUCCUUUGCCUUUCUUUAUCUUUUCAAAGCAGUGAAGGAAUAUUUUGCUUUUAUGUAAGUAUUAGAUGUAUUAAUGAAACUCUAAAAGGGUUUUUUUGAUAGUUGCAUCACAUGCUGGAGCAUUAAUUUUGUUUGUUGUUGAUUGAGUUAAAAGAGUGUUACUAUUUAAUUUAUUCUCUUUUUGUGAAGCCCAACUUAAUUAAUAAUAGAAAUUUACCUAAAAAUAUCUAUUGAAUAUUUUAUUUGAAAAUAUUAUUAUUUCAAAUUAUUAUAUUUUUUCAUAUUUAGAAAGACAUAUUUAUUCAUAUAUUUCGAAUAACUUAUGUGAAAAAAAGAAAAGAAAAGGGAAUUUCGAAAUAAAUAAAUAAAAGAAGAAAAAAAAGAAAUCUAAAAAAACAACCGUCCGGGGGCAAGUCCACCCCACGUGCGCGCAUGUAGGCAUGCAGCGGCUAGCGCCCACGCACGCUAACGCCCAGCCGCUCCCACGAUCUCUCCUCGCGCCCGCGCGUCAGGUGCAUGCAGGAGCCCAAGCGCGUCAUCUCUCCCACGAAAAGAAAACUACCUAGCCGUCCAUCUCUCUCUCUGUGAUACCCGGUUUGCAAAGAAGAGAAGUUGAAGGUUAUUCUUUUUGUUUGUUUUUUCUCUUAUUCGGGUGUCGCGCUUUGGGGAUUUAGAAUUUGUGGAAAUCAUUCACCAGUAUAGCAGUAGAGUGGUUGGUCGGGAGCUGUCGUGCAAGCGAGUUGGGCCGCGAAUCGCAAUCCGGCCCACUAACCCUCCCCCUAACCCUAGCCGCCCCCCUUUUUCCCCCUUGGGUUGUUGCAGCCGCCCCUUCCCCUCCCCUUUCUCUUGGACGCCCCCCCUCUCCCAUCUUCUUCCUCCUCAAACCUUUGCAGCCCUCACCACCCAAAACCCUAGCCGCCCCCCCCCCCCCCCAUUUCUCCCCCUCCUCCAAGGUGCAGCCCUCCCGUGUGGUUCUCCGUCGUGUGGCUGCGAUCUCAAUUGGAGUUUGGAGGGAGGAAGAAGGAAGGAGGAAGGGAAGAACCUAAGGUGAAUUUGUGAUUAACUUUUGUUGUUUUUGUGCUGCAAUCAAUUGGAUUAUGUGUUUAUCUUUGCGAAUCGGUAGAGGUGCUGUCCAGGAAUUUUGUGAGUGGGUGAACAGCAGUAGUUCUAGGGAUUUCUGGGAAUUUUCGUGGGGUAAUUAGUGGGAAUCAGUGGGAUAAUCAUGUAGAGCUUUGUCAUACCUUUCCAACGAGUACUUAUGCGCUCGAUUCGGAGUUAUAAUUUAGGAGAUAUCGUUGUUUGAAUCCGGGUAUAUUGCUGUCCAAAAAAACAGAUUUUUCAGGUGGGUGAACAGCAGUAGUAUUAGCAGUUUCUGGGAAUUUUUCGUGGGUAAUUAGUAUUAACCAGUAUUAUAAUCAUGUAGGGCUUUGUCUUAUCUUUCCAAUGAGUACUUAUGUGCUUGAUUUGGAAUUAUAUUUUAAAAGAUAUCGCUGUUUGAAUCCGGGUAUGUUGCUGUAAAAAAAACAGAUUUUUCAGGUGGGUGAACAGCAGUAGUAUUAGCAAUUUCUGGGAAUUUUUCGUGGUUAAUUAGUGCUAACCAGUAUGAUAAUCAUGUAUGGCUUUGUCUUAUCUUUCCAAUGAGUACUUAUGCGCUUGAAUUGGAAUUAUAUUUUAAAAGUUAUCGCUGUUUGAAUCCGGGUAUGUCGCUGUCCAAAAGAGAAAAAAACAGAUUACAGGGUUCAUCUUGUGAACUGUUUUGGGCUAAUUAGAUGUUGGAGUUUAAUUAUAAAUUGUAUACAAAACUUGUGGGGAAUUUUAUGUAGAUGCCUCUGGAGUUUUUGUUUGUUACCAAUGCUGUCAUAAUUUUGAAGUUAUGAAAUUAUUAAGCAGCGCCGCUGCAGUUUGGUGGGUGUGGGGAGAGAUGUAACCCGCGGCGGGGUUUGAGUUUGUGCGUAGGUGCGGCGUCGUUUAUGAGCCUGGUUAUGUGAAAUUGGUGCACUAAGUUGUGUGUCAAAAACAGGUGGUGGACUUCCGGAUCGUACUUAGGGAUUUGCCCAAACUUCCGGUAAAG
rnacentral:lncRNA from 1 species